CCGCUAAGUUGUGCGUUCCAGGGUGCACUCGCCGGCGAGGCUGCACGGCGCCGGUUUCAUUGCUAAAAUCCGACGGACUUGUUGCAGAACUCGUUUUUUUUGUCGGGAAAGGGCUUCCCCGUGUAACUUUACAGCAGUUAUCGUAGAUAAGACUUGCAAAUUACAGAUGUGGACGGUGAGGGAACGGGAAUUUCACUGAAAGCGCCUGAGAACCAGUAAGAGACCUGCAACAGCUUUGUGCUCCACUGGCGAAUGCUUCCUCCCCUAAUACACAUUAUGUGUGCUUGGAGACACAAGGAGUAAGAUACAGCCCCUCAAGGGACUCGUCAUAGGGAGAGGACACAGCUUUGGGAAUAAAGGGGCCACAAAGGAGGAGAGAGGAGUUUGCUGAAACUUCCCAAGCUCCCAUUCCAGCAGUUCCUGAAGGAUUCAUUUCUCUCUGAGGAUCUCAUGAGGUGGCUUAGCAGCUAGAAUCUCUUCCUUAACAGUGGGAAGAACAACUCCUGGAAAUUUAGGUCGACUUUGACUGGAUUUAAAAGAAAGCUGUACAAUUCCACUUCUGUAUAUACAACCAAAGGAAAUGAGAUGUGCAUACCCAUGUUCAAUGAAGCAUUAUUCACAAUAGCCAAAAUGUGGAACCAAUCCUUAAACAAAAGGAAAACAGAAAAUCUGCUCAAGUGGGAAGAAACUAACCCUCAUUGAGUGCCUAGUUAACAUCAGGCACUUUGUACACAUAAUCAAUUGAAUCUUGACCACAACCCUGUGAGGUGAAAAAUGAGAAGAUUAAAUAAGCCAUGGGAAGAUUUUUUAAAAUGACAUGAAACUCCAAGGGUAAAAAGUAGGCUGGGAAAUCUUAGGAUGGUGAACCAUCAUGUUUCCUGAAUGUGAAUCCUGUACCUGGUUUGACUGUAGUCACCCCUUCUCCAACACUCUCCACGAUGCCGGCUGCCUCAUGGCCUAAAAUCACAGGAAGUGGGGUCACCAUGGUACCACUAACCACGUGGUCAUCUGUGCCACAGAUUCCUACAGCCACCAUCUACAGAGUGAAGAGAAGAUGUUUAUAAAAGAUUGUGAGUCUCAGGAUGUUCAACAUGAUCAAUGCCAAAUAAAUAUCAGAAUACUUGGAAGUAAAGUACUAAUAGUAGGAGUUCCUGAUUAUCAGGUGCCUAUGAUGUGACAGGCACAUUGUGGCCUGUGCUCGACCAGGAGACUGGUGAGUCCUUGUGGAUUUCUUCCCUGCUCAAGUGCAUAAAGCAGGUGUAUUGCAUAGCUUUUCCAGGCUGAGAUCAAAGACGGAGAUGUGCCUACCCGCAGAUCCUAGAUGGCCAUGUUUGCAACAGAGGUAAUGAUGAGCAGUGCGAAGAUGUGACUCCAAAGCCUGGAGAAGGACAGACCAGCAUCCCUGCAAGAGAUCCAACUGUCUUCUUUUCCGCAGAGGUCCAUAAUUUACAUGGGCCUGACAAAGAAUACUGUAACUUGCAGAAAUUAUCUUCAGUUCAAAUCCUUCAUUUUGGGGGUUAAAUAACUUGCCCAAGAUGUCGAGGGAGCGGAAAUACUUGCUGGUCUUGCAGCGGCUGUGGAGCCUGGAAUCCUGCCAAGAAGAGCAUGUGUGAGAGAUCAAAAUGUUUGCUUACAUUCCUCCUGUGAAGGGAGUUGGGAAAUAACCUAAGAAGCCCAAUCCAAAAACAAAGAUGUACCAUCCAGUCUUCUCUGUGAGAACCAAACUACAAACCAUCUGAAUGUUCCAAAAGUGUUUUGAUGAUGUAUUGAUGUAUUUUAAAUUAUCCUGAAAAUGUUCUUGGCAGAUGCUUAAACAUGUAAUUACUGAGAUGAUGUAGAAAUACCAAGUGUUUAUUAAAACAAUACAGAGUAAUACAAAUGGUAUGUUUGUCGCAAUAUAAAAGUAUCUAAAAAUUAAAGAGUUCUUUAAUGGU
rnacentral:lncRNA from 1 species